rnacentral:rRNA from 1 species
GACGAACGCUGGCGGCGUGCCUAAUACAUGCAAGUUGAGCGCUGAAGGUUGGUACUUGUACCAACUGGAUGAGCAGCGAACGGGUGAGUAACGCGUGGGGAAUCUGCCUUUGAGCGGGGGACAACAUUUGGAAACGAAUGCUAAUACCGCAUAAAAACUUUAAACACAAGUUUUAAGUUUGAAAGAUGCAAUUGCAUCACUCAAAGAUGAUCCCGCGUUGUAUUAGCUAGUUGGUGAGGUAAAGGCUCACCAAGGCGAUGAUACAUAGCCGACCUGAGAGGGUGAUCGGCCAUAUUGGGACUGAGACACGGCCCAAACUCCUACGGGAGGCAGCAGUAGGGAAUCUUCGGCAAUGGACGAAAGUCUGACCGAGCAACGCCGCGUGAGUGAAGAAGGUUUUCGGAUCGUAAAACUCUGUUGGUAGAGAAGAACGUUGGUGAGAGUGGAAAGCUCAUCAAGUGACGGUAACUACCCAGAAAGGGACGGCUAACUACGUG